rnacentral:rRNA from 1 species
CAGUCGCCGCGGUAAUACGGAGGGUGCAAGCGUUAAUCGGAGUUACUGGGCGUAAAGCGCACGCAGGCGGUUUGUUAAGUCAGAUGUGAAAUCCUCGAGCUUAACUUGGGAACUGCAUUUGAAACUGGCAGGCCAGAGUCUUGUAGAGGGGGGUAGAAUUCCAGGUGUAGCGGUGAAAUGCGUAGAGAUCGGGAGGAACAUCAGUGGCGAAGGCGGCCAUCUGGGACAACACUGACGCUGAGGCACGAAAGCGUGGGGAGCAAACAGGAUUAGAUACCCCGGUAGUCCCUGUCUCUUAUAU